CAACAACAUUCGUUCCAUAUUCCGUUGUCAACAAAAAUAAUUAAUUAUUUUUACACCAAUGUAAAUUAAUGCAUCGAUUCUUUAUGUAGCAAUAAUAUACCCUUGAGUUUUUUCUUAAUUGUACGCUUGUCUCUUCCUUUAUUUCAAUAAGACGGUCCAUGUUGGUACUUUCAGACUAACUUAGUUAAUAUAAGUUUGUAAUAUACGUUCUUUUUUAAAAACGAAUAAGAUGCCUCAAGUUGUUUUAUUGUUCAGUGGCAAAAGAAAGUCUGGAAAGGAUUUUUUGACUGAUCAUUUGCAAAAUAUGUUAAGAGACAAAUGUGAAAUCAUCAAAAUAUCUAAGCCCAUUAAAAGUCACUGGGCUAAAGAAAAAAACUUAAAUUUGGAUGAAUUAUUAAGUGAUGGUAAAUACAAAGAGCAGUACCGUUUGGAUAUGAUACAAUGGAGUGAGGAGAUGAGAUUUAAAGAUUAUGGAUGCUUCUGUCGUUCUGCAUGUGAAAAUGCUGUGGAUAGACCAGUAUGGAUUGUCAGUGAUAUUAGACGGAAAACUGACAUUCAGUGGUUCAAGGAAAAUUACGGUGAUGCUAUAAGAAAAAUACGAAUUACUGCUGAUGAUGAUACAAGGAAAGCGAGAGGAUAUAAUUUCCAAUUAGGAGUUGAUGAUGUUGCGUCAGAAUGUGAUUUGGAUGAUUAUAAUGAUUGGGAUCUUGUUAUAAACAAUAGUAAAAAUGGACAAAGUUUAGAAGAACAAAUAAGUGCUAUUUCAACAUUGAUAAAACAUGUGUAAUUUAUAAGAGCCAAUAGCUUAUUGGUUAAGGAUAUGGUUUACAUGGUUGUGGGUUUGAAUCCCUCCGUUCAAAUAUUAUGCCACAAGCUUAUAGCUCGAUUGCAAUGGUGACGAGAAAUAUUAGGAAAUUAAUAAAAAGUAUUAUGGAGUGGAAAUAACUUUUUAUGAAUCCUUGCGAUACAGAGAGGAUGUAUAGUGGAUAAUAACUGUAUGUGUAUGUAUUGUUAUUCAUGUUUCUAAAAAUAUCAAGAAAAUUACUAAGAGAUUGAUAGAUUAUUAUAUGAAUAUAGAUGUAGAUAAGAUUGAUUAAGUACAGGGUGGUAUAAAAUAAAAUUACUCUGCUUUUAUAAUUUUAGUUAUUUAUUUUUUUAAUUUUCAUACAGGAUUUGUAUCAAUUUUUGUAUUGAAGAAUUAUUAUUUAUUUAUUUAUUUUAAAAUGAAUCUCUUAACAAAGUAUUUACAUUGUCUUGGUGUGUGUGUUUUAAUUUUAUACAUGUUCGUUGGAUCUAAUUUGAAUUUAUUUUGGUGGAAGAAUGUAUUCAA